GACGAACGCUGGCGGCGUGCUUAACACAUGCAAGUCGAACGGAAAGGCCCCUUUGGGGGUCCUCGAGUGGCGAACGGGUGCGUAACACGUGAGUAACCUGCCCUUGCUUCCGGGUUAACUUCAGGAAACUGGGGCUAAUACCGGUUAGGAAUCAUUGCUGCAUGGUGGGGGUUGGAAAGAUCCGGCGGUUUUGGAUGGACUCGCGGCUCAUCAGCUUGUUGGUGGGGUAGUGGCUUACCAAGGCAUUGACGGGUAGCCGGCCUGUGAGGGUGACCGGCCACAUUGGGACUGAGAGGCGGCCCAGGCGCCUACGGGAGGCAGCAGGGGGGAAGAUUGCACAAUGGGCGGAAGCCUGAUGCAGCAACGCCGCGGGCGGGAUGACCGCCUUCGGGUUGUAAACCGGCUUCAGCAGGAGCGAAGCUUGUUGUGACGGUACCUGCAGAAGAAGCACCGGCUAACUACGUG
rnacentral:rRNA from 1 species